rnacentral:lncRNA from 1 species
CCCCUCAUUCGGGCUGAACUUGCGUGUGCGCGGCUGGCGUAAACAGGGCACAGCCGCACCGAGUCCAUCUUAAAUGACAUCCUUCCCCCCCUUGUUAUUCCUAUUAACGUUUAUUUUUUUAAAAAUUUUAUUCUCCCCCCGCUGUUCUGUGGGUUUCCUGCCCUCCCUGGUAGCUCCCGGCCACCUCCUGCGACCCCCGGGCUCGUUUUGGGGGAUGUUUUCCGGGGGAGUUUUUUUUUUGGGAGGAUAUUUUUUUGGGGUAAUAUUUUUAGGGUGAGGGGGUCCCAGCUGCGAGCCCCCAUCCUUUGAGCCCCCUCCGGCUCCGCAGCGAGUUGCUGAAAGUCCCGAGCGGCGUCGCCGUGCUCUGCGCCCUCCCUCCAACUUCCCAUUUCUAAGGAAGCGUCUUUAAAAAUAAUAAUAAAAACACAAAUUUAAAAGCCUCAACGUUUGGGCCGAAGCCCUGGCCUGCUGCUCGGCUUCCCCGGCUGCUUUUUUUUUUGGGGGGGCUGUGGGCCUGGGGGAUGCCCCUGCGUGGAGGGCGGCGAGGACGCUGCGGAGCGGUGCAACGCGCUCGCCCCAGGAGUAAAGUCCAGAGCUGCAGGGAGAGCCCGACCAAACCUUGGGGGGGGGNAAAAAUCCACAAAAGUGCCUGCGAGCCUUGCUCAGGCUCGCCAGCACGUGCCUCGGUGGGUUUACUGGGAGCAGAUAUCGCUAAAGGCCUGGGUUUGCACCGCCGGAGGCAUCGGGGGGCUCCCUCUGCCCUGCUGGAGGUUUUGGGAUGGGUGCACCCAAGGGUUUUGGGGUGCUGGUCCCGGAGGAAACCCAACGUCGGUGCUGGGAUCCGGGGUGCUGGGACUCCACGUGAAGUUGACAAAUGCUCCUACAGCACGAGGAGGCAGCCUUCAGGUUGCUGGAGUUGAAAGCGUGCAGGAGGAGGGGACAGUGGCCUUAUUAAUGUCCUUCCUAACGAGGGGUGUGCUCCACAAAGGAUGAGAUGAUUUUAAAUUAAUUAGCUGCUCCUCGUUCCUUCUUCUCGAAGCGUGCGACCUGCAUUGAUUAUCUGGUUGUUUUAGCGGCAUCGGCACGAGGAAGUUAUUUAAUUGGGCUUAAUUAACCUGCGGAGCUC